rnacentral:rRNA from 1 species
UGGGGAAUUUUGGACAAUGGGCGCAAGCCUGAUCCAGCAAUGCCGCGUGCAGGAUGAAGGCCUUCGGGUUGUAAACUGCCUUUGUACGGAGCGAAAAGGUCUGCCCUAAUACGGUGGGCUCAUGACGGUACCGUAAGAAUAAGCACCGGCUAACUACGUGCCAGCAGCCGCGGUAAUACGUAGGGUGCAAGCGUUAAUCGGAAUUACUGGGCGUAAAGCGUGCGCAGGCGGUUAUGCAAGACAGAGGUGAAAUCCCCGGGCUCAACCUGGGACCUGCAUUUGUGACUGUAUAGCUAGAGUACGGUAGAGGGGGAUGGAAUUCCGCGUGUAGCAGUGAAAUGCGUAGAUAUGCGGAGGAACACCGAUGGCGAAGGCAAUCCCCUGGACCUGUACUGACGCUCAUGCACGAAAGCGUGGGGAGCAAACA